GACGAACGCUGGCGGCGUGCCUAACACAUGCAAGUCGAACGGAGUUGUUCCUUCGGGGACAACUUAGUGGCGAACGGGUGAGUAACGCGUGAGAAACCUGCCUUUCAGUGGGGGACAACAGUUGGAAACGACUGCUAAUACCGCAUAAUGUUAUUUGGGGGCAUCCCUGAAUAACCAAAGAUUUAUUGCUGAAAGAUGGUCUCGCGUCUGAUUAGCUAGAUGGCGGGGUAACGGCCCACCAUGGCGACGAUCAGUAGCCGGUCUGAGAGGAUGAACGGCCACAUUGGGACUGAGAUACGGCCCAGACUCCUACGGGAGGCAGCAGUGGGGAAUAUUGGGCAAUGGGGGAAACCCUGACCCAGCAACGCCGCGUGAGUGAGGAAGUAUUUCGGUAUGUAAAGCUCUAUCAGCAGGGAAGAAAAUGACGGUACCUGACUAAGAAGCCCCGGCUAACUACGUG
rnacentral:rRNA from 1 species